UACCGACGGCCCGAGUGGUAGCCACUCUUAUUGGGCCUAAAGCGUCCGUAGCCGGUCCAGUAAGUCCCUGUUUAAAUUCUCUGGCUUAACCAGAGGACUGGCAGGGAUACUGCUGGACUUGGGACCGGGAGAGGACAAGGGUACUCCAGGGGUAGCGGUGAAAUGUGUUGAUCCUUGGAGGACCACCUAUGGCGAAGGCACUUGUCUGGAACGGGUCCGACGGUGAGGGACGAAAGCCAGGGGCG
rnacentral:rRNA from 1 species